GUCUUGGGCUUUGGCGCAGGGGUUUCUGGGAGUUGCGAGUCGUCAUGGUGUCUGCGUGAAGUGCGGCGUCGCUGCGUGGCACCUCGGCCAACUGUAAAAGAUGACAUCAGCUAGGCCAACUUUUGAACUUGCAAGAGGCGGAAGAGGAAAAGGAGAAGGUGAUUUGAGCCAACUCUCAAAGCAGUAUUCAAGUAGAGACCUGCCUUCUACAAAGAUCAAAUACAGACAAGCUUCCAAGUGUCUUUGAAAGAGAUAGCAGCUUUUAAGUGAGUGAAGAAGUCAACUCACCCUAUGGAAAGCUGGGCCAAGCAGUGCUUCCUGAUGAAUAAAAACGGCUAAAUUGAUACAGAGUGGUGAUAGACAAUAAAAGUUAAAUUAGGUGUAUCACUGUUAUAUACUCAAUGUUGUGCUUCCUUCCCCCAUUCUUAUAUUGAAAUCUUAACUCCCAAUGUGAUGGCAUUUGAAGGUAGGGCCUUUAGGAAAUAAGUCCUUCCUCUGGGAAUUAAUUAGGAAUUUGUGUCCUAAUGAAAAGGGACCCCAGAAAGUGUUCUUAAUCUCUUUUCACCAUGUGAGGAUACCAGAAGUUGGCAGUCUGCAACCAACAACCACACAAGCACCACGAUCUCAGACUCCCAGCUUCCAGAGCUGUGAGAAAUAAAUUUGUGUUUAUAAGCUCACCAGUCUGUAUUCUAUUAUAGCAGCCGGAACUGACAAAGACAACCCUCUUACUGUAAUAAACUAAACAAUGAAAAACAUUAUUUGAGGGUGACUAACGGCUGUUCUUAUGGUUCAGAUGUUUAAUUCCAUAGGUUUGAAUGUGGAAAGCAUCACUUUCAAAACCGAAUGUCAGAAUAGUCAUCUUUAUUUUUAUCCUCGUAAAUGUACUCAUGAUAGCUUUACUCAGUUGUCCUUGCUUCUGGCUUAGCUUCCUCAGAUUCUGAGUACAUUAUUGUUCCCAUAUGAAUUAGAACAAAUACAUUCCAGUAAUAAAUACUUAUCUCAAAAGUAAAAUAAUUUUGGAAAAAGCAAUAGGCUUUUUUAAGUUCUUAUAAGCCAUGUAAAAAUAGAAAAGGAUGACCAGGUUAUGAUAAAGGAAAUUUCUAAAUUCUUAAGACCCAAACAGCUUUUGCUUACUUCGGGUUUCUGUUCUCAGGGAGUUGGGGAUUCUGUAAACCAGGACAUUUUGAUCCAUAAAUCUGAUCAGAAAGAAUAAUAUGCCCAGCCAGAGAUGGGUAAGAUUCCUCAAGGGAGGAACAGCCUAAGACAGGCACAGUCGCAGGGGGGUCAUCAGAUGAGAAAUUGGGGAUCAACAGAGGUGAGGCUUAGAACCUCCCCCCCCUGUUCUGAGAGAAAUCUUCUGCAUACGUGGAUGUUUUAUUGCCCUUGUCUAGCUUGGAUUAACACAUAGUCUACAGGCACACACCUCAUCAUCUACAUUUGCUCCCUUACAACACUAAACUAUGUUUUCUACCUUUAUCUUGUAUCUAUCUACCACUUCAGCAUUUUAUUAAAAAUAAUAAUAAUAAAGAGAGAAAUGUGGUAUCCACAUAUAAAUCAAGUAUAAAAAUCAAAUGAGUAUUCAUAUUUGAACUGACUGUUUAUAGUUCAUAAUGCAUGAGCAAAACCGAAAGUUUCUGUGAUGACUGCCCUUGUACUGUUCACUAUGUAACUUAUUCAUUAUGUAAGAAUUUGUUCUCCAUGUAAGAACUUGUUUGUUAUGCCUCAGAAGAUUGGAGACUGACAAAAAUUAGGCUUGGGGUGUAUUAAUGAUUGUGCAUUGAGCAUUGACUCCCCUAUACAGAAUUUUAUUGUUGUUAACAACCAUUUGAUCAAUAAAUAUGAGAGAUGCCCUCACAAAAGAAAAAAAAAAAAAGUACAGACUUCCAAUGGUAAAAUAAAUAAGUAACCGGGAUGUAAUGUAUAGCAUAAGGAAUAUAGUCAAGAUAUUGUUAACAGCUUAGUAGGGUGAUAGCUGGUACCUAGAAUUGCCAUGUAUAUAAAUGUUGAAUCACUGUGUUGUACACCUGAAACUAAUUACACAGUAAUGUAAUACUGUGCGUCAACUACCCUUCAAUAAAAAAUAAUUAUCUACAAAAAAAAAUAAUAAUAAUAAUAUGCCCAAUUCAAAGAGAAGUUUAUUUUGAAAGUUUCUUCUCAAACAAGAGCAAGAUCUUGGACUUGCAGGGAAUUCCAGGGCCUUGCCAUGCAUUAUGUUUGCAGCAAAUAUAAGGAAAAUGUAGUACUGAGUUUAAAUAUUAAAAUUUAACCCUGACCAAUUAAAUGUGUUUAAUAUUUGUCCUUCAGUAAAAGUAUUAUGGGUUCCUAUAUAAAAUGCAGAAAUAUCCCUAUUUCUAUGGAAGGAAACUUUAGGGUUUUUGUAAGUUAGAAAAUAAAUGUUGUAUAAGGAAUAUGGAGAAUAUUAAAAGGACAAAAAUAAAUACUCUAAUUCUAGCAUUCUGGAAUAACUAUUAACAUUUUAGAAUUUCUGUCAAUCUUUUGGCUAUCUGGUUUCUCUUGAAUAAAAGUGUAUAUUGUUCAUCUAUGUAAAAUAAAUAUUCAUUCUUAUUACAUUAUUUUUCACAGAAUUUCAUUAAGUCUAGCAUCAAUCAUAUUGUGCUCUUAUAUUUGGGUGAGUCAUUUUUGUCUUGCUGUUUUUAAGAUUUUCUUUGCUUUUCAGCAGUUUGAUUGUGAUGUAUCUAUGUCAGAAUUUCUUUAUAUUUGUCCUCUUUGGGAUUCAUUGAAGUUCUUGGAUUUCUAAAUUAAUGUUUUUCAUCAAAUUUGGGGGAGUUUUCAAUCAUUUCUUCAAAUAUUUUUUGCUUCUUUUUUUCUCUCUUCUCUUUCUAUGCCUCCCAUUGCGUGUGGGCUUACAUGCAGGCUGUGUUCAUUUUUCUGAAAUCUUUUUUUUAACCUAUGUUCUUAAGACUGGGUAGUUUCUACUGAUCUGUGUUCAAGUUUACUGAUUAUUUCUCCCACACUUUCAAAUCUGCUAUUAAGCCACUUUAAUAAAUUUAUCAUUACAGUUAUUAUAUAUUUCAAUUCCGGAAUUUCUAUUUACUUAUUUUUGAGUCUAUCACUUAUUUGUUGAGUCAUUGUCAUCAUACUUUCCUUUAAUUCUAUAAACACAGUUUUCUUUAGUUCUUCAAACUUAUCCAGAGCAGUUGCUUUGAGGUCCUGGUCUCCUCAGUCCAGCAUCUUGACCACUCAGAGAUAGUUUCCAUUGAUUGCUGUUGUUUUUCUUCAACAGUAUCGAUGAAACUUUCCUGUUUCUAUCAUGCCUCGUUUUUUAGUUUGUGGGUGUAUGUGGAUGAAGUGCACAGAGUACUCGGUGUGCCCGUGUGUCAGCUGGAGGGAUCCACAGAGUGGAUACAAAUGACUGACACACCCUAACAGAGGAGGAUUCACAGGAUGCAAUGAAGUCCCACUGAUCAGCAGCACCAAGAUCUUCAUAGUCAGUGUCGCUGGACUCCUCUUCUAAAGAUUGCUUCUUCAACAUCUUGAUUUGCUUAUGCACACUCUGCGAGACCAAAAACUCCAUCACAAAAAAGAGGAAAAGACAAAGCCAAUCACUUACCAAACUCCCAGGACAGGCCUCGUGAAGGGAUUCCCACAGCACUCAGCGGCACAGGCUUUGGAGAUAUUCCCGUGACCCUGGAAGUCUUCGGCCUGAUCAAGCCAGGAGAUCGCUCUAUAUAGAAGUUUGUUGGGGUCUUUGCUCAUCUUCAGUAUGGUGGGUACCAUACCCCAGAACCUCGUGCUCUCAGCCAUCUUGAAAUCUAGGAAAAUGAAAGCAAAGUAGCAUUAGGAAGAAAAAAGACUGUAUUUUAGUCCAUUUCUACAGUCCCUGCUGUUUGCUUAGUAGGUGUUCUCUGUGAGGGUCCCAGUUGUGUUAGUUCAAAGGAGAACUCCAACGGAAGUUUGAGAAAGUGUCCAAAAGAAAUAUGUCUGUUUAAUAAAAUUUCUCAUUCUUUCACUUACUCUUUUUCUAAUUUUCCCAUAUCAGUCUCUCCUCCCUAUGUCAUUUCCUUUCCCAGCCUCUUCCCACAGUUAAUUCAUUGAGCCCUGUGUGAAGCCAUCUGUCCCGUUUGCUCUCAUCACAAACUCUGUGUGAUUUACUUCUUUUUAUAAUCUAUGUACCAAACUGUGACAAUCUACCCACUCUAGCCAAGAGCACAGUUCCAGCUGUCAUAGAGUCCCCAGGGGGAUCUCAGUGUGUGUGCUUAAAGGUGAGUCUCCGCCACCCGUCUCCCGGAUGUCCCUGCCUGAGCCUGGGGAGCUGGACUGACUGGUCGACUGGGGCUCCUCCUGAACCCAACCUUUCUAAACCCCAUCGCCAGUCUCAAAUCUGUUUCUGAUUCACCAACCAAGAUGGAUGGAUGGAUAUGUAAUCGCCUUCUACUGGGGGAACAGCUUAAAUUUCUUAUUUGCAUUACAUUCUGCUGCACUUUUGAAAUUUUCACUGAUUCAUGGAUAUCUUGAGCAUAAACACAGUUCUAAUUAAAGAAAAUGAGUUUGAAUGUGUCAGGUUUUGCCUUUAGUUACAGCUCUGGUGGUGUGAAGAGUGCUUUCUUUUUCAGUAAGUGUACUGUGACUUCUGUGUUUUAUGUAAUUCACUUUCUCACUUAUGAACUAGAAACAAUUUAUUGUUAUAAUACUCUGACAGUCAAUACUUGCUCCAGCCUUCCCUACCAGGUGGCUGAAACAUUUGGGGGCCUGCCUCCUUUAUUCCGUCCAGUUUUAUCUCACAUAUUCCUGCCCUGCUUCCCUUCAAAGGUAUUAAUCCCUAAUAAAUAUUUUGUACCCUCAAUUCUGUCUCAACAUCUGCUUCUGGAAAAGGCAACUAGCAAUAAUCCUCUUCAGAUCUUUGGAGGCUGGGGAGAUAAGCCAUACAGAGAGCAGGGCUUUCCUUUCAUCUUUGGGGUCACAAUCCUGGAAAGCCAUGCAUUUCCUAGAACACACUAGGCUUAAUACUUGCCCUGGAACUCUCUGAAAAUAGUGUCAUUUAAUACAGAGAAGUUCAGGCUGGCAUCAGUGUUUUCUAUGCGGAUUCCUACAGAGCCUGAAGACUUACUGGUUCUGCUGAAGGCCUACUGGACUGCUGAUUCUAGCUGUUGCUCAGCUUAGGAGAGGGCAACAAACUGAAAUUAAAAUGGGAGGGGAGACAAGAUGCAUUUAUACUGAAAUAUUCCCAGUAUCCCCUCCUAACUUUUUAGGUUACUUGAAUUAUUUUUCUAGCUUCUUGAGUAGAUUUCCUAGUAUGCUUUGAACUUAUUUUUGUAGUGUAAAUAGAACAAAAGAGUACACAUUACAUUAUUCAGCUCCAUGAAUUCCAAAGAAUGAGCACACUCAAGUAAUUGUCCUCCAGAUCAAGAAUGGUAUCAAUGUCCCCAAAGCCCCAUUUGUACAUUUCUGAGUUACUGUUCUCCACGAUGUGUCCAAUAUCUAGACCUCCAACAAUAUACCUCACUUGCUUUGGAAAUGUAUAUAAAUGAAUCAUAAAGUAUAUAAAAUUUUGUGUCUGGAUUGUUUGAUUUUUAUAUAUUUUUUGUUAGCUCUAUCUAUAAUAAAUUGUUGAGUUAUCACUGUGGUUUUCAUUCUCUUUGCUAUGUAGUAUUCCAUUGUGUGAAUACACCACAUUUUAAAAAUUCAGUUUAAUUUUCAGUUUGGGACUGUUAUGAAGAGUGCCAUUAUGACAGCUUGGUGCAUGUCUUUUGAUUUAUUAGUUACACUACCACAAGUGUGAGAGAUCUAUUUAUUACACAUCCUCACCAACAGCUGGUAAAUGUUUUCCAUUGUAGCUCUUCUGGUAGGUAUGUAAUUGCAUUGCACUGUGGAUUUAAUUUGCAUUUCCUUGCUGAUUAAUGAAGUUGAGCAAACUUCAAAUGUU